GUAGUUGACUCGCGGCUCGAGACGACGCUGGCGGCGUGCCUAAUACAUGCAAGUCGAGCGGACCGAACGAGAGCUUGCUCUUGUUUGGCCAGCGGCGGACGGGUGAGUAACACGUGGGCAACCUGCCCGCAAGACCGGGAUAACUCCGGGAAACCGGAGCUAAUACCGGAUAACACCAAAGACCGCAUGGUCUUUGGUUGAAAGGCGGCUUCGGCUGUCACUUGCGGAUGGGCCCGCGGCGCAUUAGCUAGUUGGUGAGGUAACGGCUCACCAAGGCGACGAUGCGUAGCCGGCCUGAGAGGGUGACCGGCCACACUGGGACUGAGACACGGCCCAGACUCCUACGGGAGGCAGCAGUAGGGAAUCUUCCGCAAUGGACGAAAGUCUGACGGAGCGACGCCGCGUGAGCGAAGAGGGCCUUCGGGUCGUAAAGCUCUGUUGUGAGGGACGAAGGAGCGCCGUUUGAAUAAGGCGGCGCGGUGACGGUACCUCACGAGAAAGCCCCGGCUAACUACGUG
rnacentral:rRNA from 1 species